CACAACGCUACACAAACCGUAAGGCGAAACCUAGAAUGUUUGGUAUCGUUGGACUCGGUAAGGUUUCAGGAGUCCAAUUUGGUGAGUCUCGAGAAAAUAAGUCGACCACACCCAAGGUUAUAAGCAUUUAAAAAAGGAUGAUCACCACUAGGUGGCGCUGUUUCGAAACUUCUCACGCUCCUUCAGGACAUUGUGCUGAUGACCCAUACCAUGUUUCGUAACAAUCCGUUGAUGCGUUCUGAAAAUACAGCAUUUUAGCACAAAAUUCAAAAUGGCCGACAGUCAAAAUGGCCGAGAUGGUAAAAUUGGAUAUCAGUCGACUCGGCAUGUUGCCCUGAAUCUAACAAGACCAAUGUUAUGAUUUUUGGACAAACUGUUUAGAAGUUAUAAGCAAAAAUAGCAAUUUUCCAUAUCUCUGGACCAGUAGGUGGCGCUGCGCCGAAACGCAGCAAGUAGCCUCAGGUCAUACUUGUUAUGACAUGUACCAGGUUUGGUCUGAAUACGAUAAAUUGUUGCAGAGAUACAGCCUAACGACUGUUUUUGUAAGCGUUUCGUAAAAUUUGUUUGAGCGUUUAUCGAAAACGGUUUGACAAAUCAAUUUGAUUUGCAUAACUUUUGGUCAGCACUGCCUGAAGAUGAUCUGGUUCAAUUUUCGUGUGAAUCGGACAAACCGUCUAGGACGAGUUCGAAAAAGUAGGUUUUUCAAAAAAUUCUAAUUGGCGGCCAUAUUUAUAUGAUGGAAAAUGACAUCAUAGGGUGCAAUCGAAUUGGCAUGAGCUCAGAAAUCAGAGGAAAAAAGAAUUUUGUUGAUUGGCCUUACGGUUAAAAAGUUAUUAACAAAAUUAAAGUGAAAUUUUGGACAGUUGGUGGCGCUAGAGGGAAUGUCUUAGACACACCAAAAUUGGUGUAUUUAAUGUUGGCACUGUCCUCUAUCAGAAUGUCAAACCAAAACAACUUUCCCGCAUUCGGUUCUAUGGGCUGCCAUAGACUCCCAGUCGGAAGAAUAAUAAUAAUAAUAAUAAGAACGCCAACAAAAACAAUAGGUGCCUCGCACCUUCGGUGCUUGGCCCCUAAUAA